CUGGUUACAUGAUGAAUGAAAUCAAAUCACCAUCUUUCGGCUGAUGUCGUGAUGGAUUUGCAUUUUUCUGAUAAAGCUG